rnacentral:rRNA from 1 species
GUAGGUGGCAAGCGUUGUCCGGAUUUAUCGGGUUUAAAGGGUGCGUAGGCGGUUCCAUAAGUCAGUGGUGAAAUACAAUAGCUUAACUAUUGAGGUGCCAUUGAUACUGCGGAACUUGAGUACAGACGAGGUAGGCGGAAUUGACGGUGUAGCGGUGAAAUGCUUAGAUAUCGUCAAGAACACCGAUAGCGAAGGCAGCUUACUAGACUGUAACUGACGCUGAGGCACGAAAGUGUGGGGAUCAAACAGGAUUAGAUACCCUGGUAGUCCACACUGUAAACGAUGAUUACUCGAUGUUGGCGAUACACAGCCAGCGUCUUAGCAAAAGCGAUAAGUAAUCCACCUGGGGAGUACGCCGGCAACGGUG